AUUGAACGCUGGCGGCAGGCCUAACACAUGCAAGUCGAGCGAGAGUCGGACGGGUGAGUAAUGUAUGGGGACUGCCCGAUAGAGGGGGAUAACUCCUGGAAACGGUAGAUAAUAUCGCACACUAUCGGAUAACCCAUAUGGGAUUAGCUCGUAGGUGAGGUAAUGGCUCACCUAGGCGACGAUCCCUAGCUGGUCUGAGAGGAUGACCAGCCACACUGGGACUGAGACACGGCCCAGACUCCUACGGAGGCAGCAGUGGGGAAUAUUGCACAAUGGGCGCAAGCCUGAUGCAGCCAUGCCGCGUGUAUGAAGAAGGCCCUAGGGUUGUAAAGUACUUUCAGUCGGGAGGCGUUACCGGCAGAAGAAGCACCGGCUAACUCCGUGCCAGCAGCCGCGGUAAUUC
rnacentral:rRNA from 1 species